rnacentral:rRNA from 1 species
UCCACGCCGCAAACGAUGUUCACUUGGUGUCGGUCAUACAAAUAGAUCGGUGCCGGAGCUAACGCAUUAAGUGAACCGCCUGGGGAGUACGGCCGCAAGGCUAAAACUCAAGAGAAUUGACGGGUCCCUGCACAAGCGGUGGAGCACGUGGUUUAAUUCGAUGAUAAGCGAAGAACCUCACCUGGGCUUGACAUACUAGUGGUAGAAACCUGAAAGGGGGACGACCUCUACCU